AUGAACGCUGGCGGCGUGCCUAAUACAUGCAAGUCUAGCGAACGGACGAGAAGCUUGCUUCUCUGAUGUUAGCGGCGGACGGGUGAGUAACACGUGGAUAACCUACCUAUAAGACUGGGAUAACUUCGGGAAACCGUAGCUAAUACCGGAUAAUAUUUUGAACCGCAUGGUUCAAAAGUUAAAGACGGUCUUGCUGUCACUUAUAGAUGGAUCCGCGCUGCAUUAGCUAGUUGGUAAGGUAACGGCUUACCAAGGCAACGAUGCAUAGCCGACCUGAGAGGGUGAUCGGCCACACUGGAACUGAGACACGGUCCAGACUCCUACGGGAGGCAGCAGUAGGGAAUCUUCCGCAAUGGGCGAAAGCCUGACGGAGCAACGCCGCGUGAGUGAUGAAGGUCUUCGGAUCGUAAAACUCUGUUAUUAGGGAAGAACAUAUGUGUAAGUAACUGUGCACAUCUUGACGGUACCUAAUCAGAAAGCCACGGCUAACUACGUG
rnacentral:rRNA from 1 species